GCAGACACAUUCCAGCCAGUCAGCAGCAGACCCUCCCUCCCAGACCCUCCCACCUCCUGGACAGCAUCCAUUUUACAUUCAUUGUGAAGCUGCAUUCUUAGUGAGCUGUCCAGGAGGUGGGAGGGUCUGGGAGGGAGGGUCUGCUGCUGAUUGGCUGGAAUGUGUCUG